CAAGCUGCCUGCUCCUCCCCCUGGUUCCUGUGAUUCAGGACCCUGAGUCCUGAGCCACUCGUAUCCCUCCCCACUCAGACCCUUCACAGACACGGGACCUGGAGAACAGACCCCAACCAGGGUCAUUCUACAGAUGUGAAAACCGUGACCCAGAGAGGGUGAGACUCACCCAAGUUCGAAGGGUGGCAGACUGAAAAGAAACAUCCACUGAUUCCCAUUCUACAGAUGAAGAGACUGAGGAAAAGUCAUGUGCCCGGUAUAGUGGAUGCUAUGGUGUGCCACCCAGACUCCAGACUGACCCUCAUUCCCCAGAUGCUGGAGUGGUGGCUUCUGAUGGUUCCUUUGCUGUCCGCCCUCCAAAGGACCUGCCCUGGACUGGAAGGAGGCACCUCACUCAGGCUUCAACAUCGUACCCCACGCCAGCCCUGCCGCCAAGCAACAAUGACUGGUUGAUGCAAGGCUACAAAGGCCCAGCCCCUUUUGCCUCCAUUUGGGCACCUUGGGAAGGCCACCCCAACUCCAGAGCUCUCCUAGGAUGGGUUGAGGCCACCAUUGCAACUACAGCCCAGCCCAGCUUCUCCCUCUGCCCACCCUGCUCCCUUCACCAUUUGCAUGCUGUGUGAUUUUGGGCAAAUUACCUAACCUCUCUGAACCUCCAUCUUACUACGUGGGAAAUGGAUGUGGAGGGACCUACUUUGCAGAGCUAACUGGAAGUUCCAGAAGGCCACAAACAUAAAAACAUCCAGCACAAGGCAAGUGUGCAGAACAUGAGAUCUGUAAUUAUCAUAUCCAGGCACUCUGCUAGCUGUAACACGUGCAUUAGCUCAUUAUUUUCAUGACCGGUAAGUCAGUCCAUUAUCCUCAACUCCCAAGGCUGUUUUUGUGCUGUCUGCCUCUCAGUCUUUUGCUGGGGGAUUCUUCCCAUUUCUGAGAAGACCAGACUGAGGAGGUGGCUUGCCCAAGGUCAGCUGCCCAGCCGGGGCUCAAUUGUUGUCGCUGUCUCUCCACCGCUGUCCCUCCCGGGGCCCGGGCUGGGCUCCUCUGGCCCGAAGUCUUCCCAAACAAGGAGAGAAUAAAGAGCUUUCUGUCCACACUAGAAGAAAAACAAACCCCCACCGUCCUCCAUUCCCCGCUACGGAAAUGAUGGAUUUCUGUUAUUGUUGUUGUUGAAAUCACUACCAGGGGAAAUAGAUCAAGGGACAUUUUGCCGGCAAGAGAGCUCACUGUGUCACCGAGGAGAAUACACGUCUCUACCACA